GUGCUGGGAGUUCGGAGGCCGCAGCGGCGCCUGAGGGAGCUCGGCCGCCAUUUUGUGCCUCUCGCUCGGUCCGGGGCGGCCGCGCGGGCGCUGCGGCUCUGACGGAGCGCUCGGCUCUCCUGCUCCGUAGGUCGGGGUGACGCCGCCAUGGGCCGUAAGAAGAAGAAGCAGCUGAAGCCUUGGUGCUGGUAUUGUAAUAGGGAUUUUGAUGAUGAGAAAAUUCUUAUACAGCAUCAAAAAGCAAAGCACUUUAAAUGCCAUAUAUGUCAUAAGAAACUGUAUACAGGACCUGGUUUAGCUAUACACUGCAUGCAGGUACAUAAAGAAACAAUAGAUGCUGUUCCAAAUGCUAUUCCUGGAAGAACAGACAUUGAACUGGAAAUCUAUGGAAUGGAAGGCAUUCCAGAAAAAGAUAUGGAGGAACGGAGGAGGUUACUUGAACAAAAAACUCAGGAGAGCCAGAAAAAGAAACAACAGGAUGAUUCUGAUGAGUAUGAGGAUGAUGAAUCUGCAGCUUCAACGUCAUUUCAACCGCAGCAGGUUCAGCCGCAGCAGGGGUACAUUCCCCCAAUGGCACAGCCAGGUUUGCCUCCUGUGCCAGGUGCACCGGGGAUGCCUCCAGGUAUACCCCCAUUAAUGGCAGGUGUUCCACCUAUGAUGCCUGGCAUGCCUCCAGUUAUGCCUGGAAUGCCACCUGGAUUACAUCAACAGAGAAAAUACAUGCAGUCAUUUUGUGGUGGAAACAUGAUGAUGCCAAUGGGUGGAAUGAUGCCUCCUGGGCCGGGAAUCCCACCUCUUAUGCCUGGUAUGCCACCAGGUAGGUCAGGGUUGUCCAACUCGUACUAUGGGAUGCCCCCGCCCGUGGGGCCUCGGCCGGGCAUGCCUCCCAUGACACAAGCACAGCCUGUUACAGCCCCGGGCAUGCUGAACCGGCCUCCAGCUCCUGCUGCAGCGGCGCCCACCCCACAGCCUCCAGUCACCAAACCACUCUUCCCCAGCGCGGGGCAGGCUGCAGCAGCUGUGCCAGGGCCAGUUGGUACCGAUUUCAAACCUUUGAAUUCCACACCUGCAACAACAACGGAACCCCCCAAGCCAACAUUCCCUGCUUACACACAGUCUACAGCCUCAACCACUAGCACGACAAACAGCACUGCAGCUAAAGCAGCUACAUCUAUCACAAGUAAGCCUGCUACCCUCACAACAACCAGUGCAACCAGUAAGUUGAUCCAUCCAGAUGAGGAUAUAUCACUGGAAGAGAGAAGGGCACAGCUGCCUAAAUACCAGCGCAAUCUUCCUCGGCCAGGCCAGGCUGCCCUGGGUAAUCCACCGGUUGGACCAAUUGGAGGUAUGAUGCCACCACAGCCAGGAAUUCCUCCACAGCAGCAAGGAAUGAGACCUCCCAUGCCACCUCAUGGUCAGUAUGGUGCUCAUCACCAGGGCAUGCCAGGAUACCUUCCUGGAGCCAUGCCCCCGUAUGGGCAGGGCCCUCCGAUGGUGCCCCCGUACCAGAGCGGACCCCCGCGCCCUCCCAUGGGAAUGAGACCGCCCGUCAUGUCGCAAGGUGGCCGCUACUGACGCUCCUACUCACGCUCUAAUAGCCCUGCCAUAGGACAGGCUGAGGCAGAGUCUCAGUGUUGCCCUGUUCAGUCUGAGCAGCAGAAUUUCAGCAUUUGCUACUUACUGGUAGAGAAGAAAAAUUCCACAGAACUGCCAGUACAGGUUAGUUUAAUCUGUAAGUACCUGAUGUUCCUAUUUGAAAUAAUUUGUUCAAAUGAUACCAAUUAAAUAUCUGAGGGGAAUUUUGGUCUCUGAAAUGUGAUUGUUACCUACUGCUGAUUCCAGUAGUGAGUGAACAGACUAGACUUUUUUGGAAGAUCUGUAGUGGAUUUAACUGUGCUUGUGGACAGGUAAAAAAUACCUGUGAGCACCUUUAAGAAAAAUUUAAUACAGAAUCUUGACAAGCAGCCUUUGAUGUUACUGGAGAGUGUGAAAAUCUAAAGUCAAAAUCACUGUGGUAACAUGCUAGUUAUUAAUGAGGCUGUUAUUUAUCAGCAAACCAGAAGUAUUCUGUGUUUGUUGUGUGGGGAUUAAGCAUUUUGUUUGUAAGAAUCGAUAGCAGUUUGUAAUCUGUCAAUUUUCUUUAGCUAUUGCUAAUUACCCUUUUUACUCACAGAUUUUUACUCUGCUAGGCCAGUACGCCAGGAGCUUGUUCUUGUGUGCUUUUCUAAUUAUUACUUUUGUUAGUUCAUUGCAGCACUUCAGAGGCUACCUGCACAUGUGGUUUUGUCCUGCUGUUUUAUCUUACUCCAGAGUUACUACUCUGCCUCUAUUUUAAUUCUGCCCUAUUCCAUAUUCCCAGAAAUUCUGGUGUUUAUUUCUGUUAGCUAGAAUAUUUUAUACCUUAAAAUAGGAAAGAUUCUUUGUGAAUGGAUAAAAGAUGCAGCUUUCUCUGGAAUGUCUGCAUACAUUUAUUUCUAUUUAGACUUUGUAUAUCUUAUUUCUGCGUAUCAGCAGAACAGAUAAAAACUUUUUCUGUGCUGUAGCACGAAGCAGAGAUCCACACCUGGAUGGGCUGUAAGACUGCUUUAAUUCAGUUUUUAAGGCCAUGAUGUCCCACUCUUAAGUUUGAGGGGCUUGUGACAUCACUGUGGAUAAUUACUUAGUCGGUACUGGGAAUGUCAUAGUUAUGUGGGAGCUGAUCAGACAUUUCAAUUUUGGCAGCUCAUUUGAAGGGUCUGGAGUGGGUUUAUGAGUGACCUGCCACUUCCAGCAGAGUUGCUUGUUUUAAGGUUCUGAAAUCUUAAAUGGAGCUGCAGAACUCAUCAUAAAAACUUACAGUUUGAAGGCAGUUGUAUCUUCCCGGGUUUUAGAAUAGUUACACGUGCAGCCUGUUGCCUGCCAUCUUGUCUAUGUCAGUUCUUAGUAAUUUACACUGAAUUGCUUUGUCUUCAAAAUGAGCUACAGGCAGAUUUCUUAACUAAUGUUGUAGAGGUUUUUCUACAUAGAAGGGGAAAAAAGGGAAGUCGUACAUGAUUAUUUAUAAUUUAGCUUUAUCUCUGUUUGCUUAAGUCUUAAUUGCAGGUAUGCAAGAAUAAAAGGGAUACCUUGUUGUGAGGCCAGUACCCUGUUAACAGAAUGUAUCCAUAUUUCUUACACCCUCUGUGGUUGACUGUAGCUGAUAUUUAAUGCAAUGCUCAGUGCUAAGUUAAGUGAGUAACUGCUUUUGGCUGCUCAGUUACCUGAUCAAGUCCUGGUUUUGGCAGUGGUUGGAUGCAGACCUGCACUACCUGUACGCUGGCCUGGCAGUCAGUGGGGAUAUCUGAAGGGCAGAGUGUGUUGCAAAGUAUCUUAACAAACAAAAAAAAGUGCAUUUCACCUUUAUAGAUCAUAGUAGAACUCUGGUAGAACGUCAUCUCUUUGUGAAACUUUAAUGGCAGUUACUUACAGUACUUUUUGGUAGAAUCAAGUUUAUUUUCUUUUGAGAUAGGGCCAAAACAAUACUGGGAAUUUGAACUUUGGUUACCAGGUGAGCAGUGUUAAAUUGUAGUUCAACUUCUGACACACCAUCAGAGCAGCUGUCCAUUGUAAAAUGUUUCAGCAGUCUUCCCUCCCAGUUCUGGUACUGUAGGUUUGGAACAGUUUGUCAUUUCCCACUAUUUCCUUAGACUCAUUGCUGACUCCCAGUUGCCCUUUUAGAGUUUCUGGUCACUGUGCAGCAGCAAACUCCAAGCUGUUUUUAAUACCUUCAUAAAGGACCUUUGAGCACGUGAGUGAACAGUGUCCCCUCUCGGUAGCAGUAUGGACACAGAAGUGAGUGUGUUGUGAAGGGUUUUUUCUGUAACUUGAUACUGCUUUUGUGUUAAGUGGUAUGAAAGGCCUGGGAUUACUGAUCUUUUUCAAAAGACAGGUGGUGGCAAAAUGCUGAUGUUGAAUUUAAUUCGAGAAAGUGAGAGACUGGUAAGUAUGUGCAUCACUUUAAUGCAUGCAAAUAAUAGUAACAAUAACAAGCUUAAUUUUAUAGCAUUCAGUUUACAAAGAAGAUUAAAAAAACAGCUGGCAUCAUUUGCAUCUACUGGGAACCUUCUCUGAACUGUUCUUCAGGAAUGGGACAUUGCACAUAAAGCCAUCUGUAAUGUGUGAUCGUUUUGUAACAGUCUCUGAUUAAACAGAAGUGAACCAC